CUCACUCGAGGUUAUGCUGCAGCCACGGAAAUAGAUGGUUUCUAUUAAAAAUAAUUAGGCAGGGCAGAGGCGGAGCAGGUCCAUGUUAGCAAAGGGUUGCUUGUCUGUGUGCCUGAGGCACCUCAUCUCCGGAGGCCAGGCUCUUGAAUAUACAAGGCAGAUCCCAGGUUAAAGUUGCUGGGUCUGCUUGCUGGCUUUAUUUGCUGAUACUGAGCCGGGUAAGUAUCUUCAGGAUUUACAGAUCUAAGCCUACUACUGGCGUGAAACUUCUGCUGAGAUAGAUUACUGCUACCCGCUGUCACUGGAUUUAGAGGGCUAACACACCAUCCUGCUCACCGAGGAGACGAAACUGCUGUGCAUGUGGCUGUCAUCUAAGCGGUGAAGUGACUACAGCAUCGGUACGGCAGCGGCCAAGGUUUGCCCGCAGUGGUGAAAGAUGUCUCACCCUCCUGCCUGCGUGGGGGCGGCUGCGCUCACUGACACGUGCCCAUCGUGCUGUGCCGCAGUGGACCAAGACACCUGCCCCAAACAGGAUAUGCAUCCCUGUCCGGAGCAGACUUUUGAGGCGAAUCCCUGCCAAUGCCAGGGUGCAGCCCUGUGCCUUGAUGUGUGCCUUCAGCCAGGUCCUGCCUGCGCACCCCCCACCGUCCCUGUGCCUGGGGACGCCUGCUGCCCCGAGCUGGCACCUGCCUGCAACUCUUGCGCAUCUCCGUGUGUCACCACCUGCGUGUGUCCAGCGGUUGUCCCCUGUGACCUCCAGCAAAGCCAGGGAGGGACCAGCUUCCCGCUGAAGCCCACAGCCUUGCCAAUAGAACCCUGCAGCCCUGAGAUCGUGGGGACAUGCGGGGAGACCUUCCCUCACCAGCAACCUGUGUCACCGAUGGAACCCUGCACCAUCGAAGUGCUUGAGACCAGCAUGGAGACCUUCCCCAUUGGUUGCACAGCCUUGCCGGUGGAGCCCUGCUGUGCUCAGGCUGCGAUCAGCAGUGAUCCUUGCCCCGAUCAGUGCCCGGUUACACACGUGGAUCCCUGUAUGCCUCUAAACGUGGUUUGUGCAGAGCCGUGCAUGCCCCAGAGCACUGCGGGACCCUGCGCACC